rfam:Mesocricetus auratus contig197534, whole genome shotgun sequence.
GGAUCGAUGAUGACAACAUGUCUCUGAGGACGCUGAUUGACCUGACCUAUGCCACUCUGAGCUCC